GACGAACGCUGGCGGCGUGCUUAACACAUGCAAGUCGAACGGAAAGGCCCUGCUUUUGUGGGGUGCUCGAGUGGCGAACGGGUGAGUAACACGUGAGUAACCUGCCCUUGACUUUGGGAUAACUUCAGGAAACUGGGGCUAAUACCGGAUAGGAGCUCCUGCUGCAUGGUGUGGGUUGGAAAGUUUCGGCGGUUGGGGAUGGACUCGCGGCUUAUCAGCUUGUUGGUGGGGUAGUGGCUUACCAAGGCUUUGACGGGUAGCCGGCCUGAGAGGGUGACCGGCCCCAUUGGGACUGAGAUACGGCCCAGAAUCCUACGGGAGGCAGCGGUGGGGAAUAUUGCACAAUGGGCGGAAGCCUGAUGCAGCAACGCCGCGUGCGGGAUGACGGCCUUCGGGUUGUAAACCGCUUUCGCCUGUGACGAAGAGUGAGUGACGGUAAUGGGUAAAGAAGCACCGGCUAACUACGUG
rnacentral:rRNA from 1 species